UAAUUAGGGGCGUGGUCUAUUGAUUGACACCUGGGCACAGGCUCCGAUGCGGGCACAGCUUGUCACUAGCCGCUCGUUAGCUCCCCUCAAGCCACCUGCAAGCUGCUCGGUCCACUCGUAGCUUCAUGUCGGCGGAUCCCCGUCGAUUCACUCGACACAAACCAUGGCUGGCUGUGCAGUUCAUUGAACUAACAGACCGUCGCACAGCUCUGUUGUCAAGUUCUUCCGUUUUCCUCUAGGUGAUCCUGAGAGGCUAGACCUGUGGGUGAUCAACAUGAAGAGACAGAACUGGAUUCCGAGCCUCUGCAGUCAACACUUGAGAGACAACACUUGAGCAAUGACAAAAGGUUUUCCUCCAGGUGACUCAGACAGCCUGCACCAGUGGAUGUCCAACAUGAGGAGACAGAACAGGACUCCAACACUAAGUUUCAUCACCUAUGCACUGACUCCAGGUACAGACCUGUUUUCAUACCUUACAAACAAUCAAAGCAAAGAUAAUGUGGAAGAACUCCAUACUGCAUUGUCUUGGUAGUGCACUGUUUAAUUCAAAUACAGAGUUGAAUAUCCACAGAAUUUUUUGGACAGAAACUUUGUUCAUAAGUAACACUUCCUAUACAAUAAUGCCAUUCUUUUAUGUCUCCUGUCAUUUUAUUAGGGACGGACGAGCCUGAAGGACUCAGCUGUGCUGACGGUGUUCUGUCUCUUAUGGGGAAUUAGAAAAAUAAAGCACUGGGUUUUUAUCUAAAGUGUAUCAAAUCAGA